rnacentral:rRNA from 1 species
AUACAGAGGGUGCGAGCGUUAAUCGGAAUUACUGGGCGUAAAGCGCGCGUAGGCGGCUUGGUCAGUCGGAUGUGAAAGCCCUGGGCUCAACCUGGGAAUUGCAUUCGAUACUGCCAAGCUAGAGUAUGGGAGAGGGAAGUGGAAUUUCCGGUGUAGCGGUGAAAUGCGUAGAUAUCGGAAAGAACACCAGUGGCGAAGGCGACUUCCUGGCCCAAUACUGACGCUGAGGUGCGGAAGCGUGGGGAGCGAACAGGAUUAGAAACCCUAGUAGUCC